rnacentral:tRNA from 1 species
UGUCACUUUAGUGUAAAUAUGGCAUGUAUGGCUUCCAACUAUAUGGUUUUGGUGAUAU